AGGGUGACCAACCAUCUGGGUUUGCCUGGGACUGAGGACUUACAGUGCUAAAAGUGGAGAGUCCUGAACAAACCAGAAUGGUUGGUCAU
rnacentral:miRNA from 1 species